rnacentral:lncRNA from 1 species
GUUGAUGUUUGACCUGGGCUAAACCUAACCAUUGUUUUUCGAUUGGCCAGUAUUUACAGUUAUACAAGCAGUACAUCUCAUAGUAUGAAAGAUUAGUAUUAAAUCCAAUUUUUUGGAUUUCUGUAAAUGUUUCAGUAGUAGUAAUAACAUUUAAAACAAAAAAAGCUAUAGUAUUGGUUCGUGGAUCUAUGCUACUUGAGAACACGUAUACAUCUAUGCUACAUAUGUCAGCAUGGAUCAGCAUUAUAAACUUAGCUAGCAGAAAGGGCUAGAUGGUGAAGUACAAAUUAUAUAGAUUUUGUACUUCACAAUAAUUGCCAAUCCCGGGAGCUUACAAGCAGGAUGGUGAUGUUAAUUACAAACUCUUUAGACAAGACGCCAAAUUGAGGUGACCUUUGUUGUAGGAUGGGAGAGGAGAGGACGUACAAGAGAGGCUGCAGAUCUUGUCCAUCAAUUUUUACCACAUACAACACUAGUACGCAAAUAAAACUAGUUCUAUCGAGAUGCAAAGUAGUAACUAUAAUCCAAAAGGAUGUCCUCCAGCUGAGCACACUCCUGUCUGACCAAAGAACCUUCAUCAGCCGCUUGUUGUGCCUCAGAAAUCCCCUCUCCUCUUCUCCUAUCGUUGUGGGACCAUCUUCACUAUCAGAUCCAGCCACCUCUUUAUCAGCUUAAAUAGGACAUGCUAGUUCGCCAAUGGCCUUCCUUAUUCAGGUGCUAUCAACAGUUUCCUUGUUGCUACCAGGACUCGAUUUGAGCAAUGAACUUUGGCCAAUCUUUACACAUAUUUUACUUAGUCAAGGCAGGAUGCUGAAACAAACAGAAAACCAUAUUAUUUUCUGUGAGAAAGAACCAAAAGAUGCCUUAACUUUCAUGGUAAAGAAUCCAACAAUUUGGUGUAAUCCAGGUACAAUGCAGCUAUACAUAUGAUUUCUUCACAAAACUCAUUUGCAAUGCAUGGAUCUACUUGUACGAAUCACAAAAUAGAUAUGCGAUACAUGGAUGUACUUGUACGAAUCACAAACUGAUAUGCAAUACAUGGAUCUGCUUGUACGAAUUCAAUAUGAAAUUGAAAAACCGAUAUACAUUGCAAAGCUGGGAGUAUGUGUACUAUGGACACAUGAACUUUGCAUAUACGUACCAUAACAUGUACAAAAGGCGAAACAACUUUAACUCAAAAUAAAAGACAAUUGUUGUGCUAACAGUUAAAAGUUAUACAAUAUGUAGAGCGGCAAAACUAAACAGUGUGAUAAUAAAAAAUGGAGAAAAUAAAAAACUCCAAAGUACCUUGCCAAUGAAAAAAUGGAGCACUAAAUAAACGGCAGGGGGCUCCUGUCCAAAUUGUAUGCAUAUAUCUUAGAGCAUAUAUUAGAGCAACAAAUUUGUAUAUCCACCAAAACCUUUUAGCUCCAAGCAGACCCCAAACUUUUAUUAGGCUCUGAAGAAGCUCCACCAAUGUGUCCGAUUGAAACUACCUGCAUAAUAAACAGAGAGGAUCAAGGAAAUGAAGGCAAUAUUUGUACAUAUCUAGGAAAAAAUGAUUGUGGUCUUCUAUCGAAAAAAUAUUUUUAGUGCAGUUCAAGCUAACAAUUUCUUUAAGCACUUUCCGUACUACUUUGCCCAACCAGUCACUGUAAAGAUGUAUAACUCCGCACACAUGGAACAUAUGCUAUUUAUCUCAUGUCAACUUGCAUAACUCUUACAGGGAAUUAUAAUACUCCCUACGAUCCAUAUUAGUCGCUCAAAUGGAUGUAUCUAGACGUAUUAUAUUGCUAGAUACAUCCGUUUGAGUGACAAGUAAUAUGAAACGGAGGGAGUACAAGCUAACUACCUCUAAUGCCAAUUGCACAAUGGCAAUAUAAGUUAUCUAGUUCAAUAAUAAAUAGUAUACAAAUUUUGGUGACAGGGAGCAUAUAAGGAAGUUCUCUACAACAAUGUUUACGACAUGCAAGAGAAGUGUACAAUGGGAAGCAUGGCAGCGCAAAAAAUAUACAUGCUCUUAUCUUAUAUGCUCGAGAACUUGAAAAUAUAUAAUAGAAGUAUGCACUCGAGGGAUUUUAUUGCGAAGUACAAAUUGUAUAUAAUACUAUAUGCUUGAAAGAAUAACAAUUUUUUUAGAAAUUCCACCGGAAGAUGUAUUAUUAGAAUUGGCAAUUUUCAGUUAGAAAUAUCAUAGUGCAAUCUGAUAUACGGAUUAGAUACUCAAUAAAAAUUCAAUUGUCAAAGUAUUAUGCCAUAAAUGUUAAUGCACAUGCUCCAUCCUUUCCACUCCCAAACUCUAUUCACCAAUGACCACAAUUGAAUGGACAUAUUUUAACUUGAAAAAGGUGCUAAUAGGCACACGCACAUAUAACAUGCAUGUCUAUUUAUCCGUAUUGAUUAUUGGCGCAAACGCAACAAUACAAAAUCACCUAUCUCCACACAUCCAUGGCGAAGGUAUUGUCAUGUGUGGUUAAUAAUAUCAUUAUUUUUGACUAGGACCAUACACAACAAUGCAACAAAAGGGAGCAUGAAAAUAGGCAGACCCUGGUAUAAAAUAGCAAAAGAGAAAUGAAGCAUAAUGCAAUUAGCAGUCCCCCUUUGAAAAUUAAUAUCAAAAUAUAUAAAAUGAUUAAAUGAGCAUCAUCUACAGUAGCACAAAGAUUAAGUAGAAGCAUCUCUAAUUGAUGCACAGGUUACUAUUCUCUCAUCACUUCUAGCAAUAGCGCAAAAGGUAAGACAUCUUCCAAAUUUUCAAUUAGUAUUGUGAAAAAUAUAAGAACAAAUCUUUGGCAACACAUUCCAAUUUCACAACACUUUUGUUAUUUAAAUCUCAUUUUACACGCUAGCGAUUAUCAUUCUGGCCACCACAGUAAUAACGGCCAUUACCUGCCAUUCUUUUUACAUCACGGUCAGAUUGCUAACUUGUCCAAGCAGGCACCAGAUUCAAUCAUUUGACAAAUAAUAAUUUGUAUGGACUUUCUUAGAACCAGAUCAACACUUUUGAUCUGUAACUCUAGGUGUGAAGAACAUAUCACAACAGGAACCUAAAAAUAAUUACAUCUGGCAGAAAAAUGUCAUCAUGGCCCAAUAAAAAGUUGGCUGGUGCCAAACAUACAUAAAAGGCCAAGACUUAUUACAUCAGUUAAGACAAAGUUAAUAUGAGCAGCAAGAAUAACUUCACAGGACCAGAAAUUUAAAUCUACAGUGAAAUCAAAAGUGAUAGCAACUAUGUAAAGGCACUGCGGUCAAAUAAGAAAAUGUUAAGAGCAGAUACCUCAUUUAUUCCCAGCUUUCCUCUCUUGGUGUUCUUCCAUGAGAACUGGGCCUAGCAAAGCAUUUAAAACCAUGAGUCAAUUAAGAGAAAGUUAUGUUGUGGCCAAAACAUGUAAAAGCGUCAAUUCUGUUGUGCAAUGUUCAGUACUUUGUGAGCUUCCCUCGUUUCCUACAUUGUGAAUUUUCCAACUCUGUUACCUGCAAGAUGAAACACGGACAUAGACAUUUGAUGUAAAUAGUAUUUGCCCAUUCUUUGCAUUAGUUCUAACUUCUAAAUAGGCAUACAACAGUGCAAGCAUACAUCCAUGUGCCAGUCAUACUAAAUUCUCACGGAAAGUUCCCCAAAUAAACACUAUAUAUGUUUCCUGGAAAAGCUGUAAGGCCCCAUUCGUAUGCUUCAGUUAGUAUAAAAAUUCAUCUAAAUCACCCAAUUCUAAUGGCUCAUAGUUCCAGAUUUGGAGAAAAAAAAUGAAGGGUGGAGAAGAGGCUAAAAGACUAGAGCCUUAACCUUGUUCGGGGCUAGCGGUCGUUGAGGAAACCAACGUGCCGCAGGUGAUCCGGGACGGCGGAUGCAGGCACGUAGUGGUAUCUUCUGGACGCCAUGGUGCCGCGGUAAGUUGAGGAUGGGCGUGGGAGCGGGAGCAGGCUUUACUUGCUAUCCCCGGAAUGUUUUUCCCGAGCAGCCAGCUGCCGAGGUUGCCUAUCGCCGUCGACGAAAGCCGAGCGCUGCUACAGAAGGGGCCAUGGUUGAGCUUGCCUCCCAGAUCUGAGCAGUGGUGGGGCUCCGAGUACAAAAUAGAGGCCACCUGCAGCGUCGCAUGCCGCCGAGGCCACCCGCGGUGGUUCCCUGCACCGAGGCCACAACGCAGGCCGCCGAACCCCACGGCUGCCGUCCACUCGCCGCCGGCACCGCCAAAGACUCUGGCCGCUCGCCUCCGAAACCGCUCACCGCCUGACUAUCGGCGAGUACCGCCGGUGACUUGCCACCGAGCAGCCCCCGUCACCGCGCCGCCUUUCACCUCGUGCUCUUCGCCGUCGAGAACAGAGUUUUUUUUCCAAAACAUGAAACCGUUCUAAUCCGAUUAGAAAAUCACGGGAAUGUGAGCUUAGCUAUCUCCUAAACGGUUAGCAAAUAAAAUUACCUCGAUACCAAGGUAAUUUUACAACGUAAUGUGGGACCAGUAAAUUUACCUCGAGAAGGACAAAUCUUAC